CGGAACGGGUGAGUAAUGCGUGACCAACCUGCCCCAUGCUCCAGAAUAGCUCUUGGAAACGGGUGGUAAUGCUGGAUGCUCCAACUUGACGCAUGUCUUGUUGGGAAAGUGUUUAGUGGCAUGGAAUGGGGUCGCGUCCUAUCAGCUUGUAGGCGGGGUAAUGGCCCACCUAGGCUUCGACGGGUAGCCGGCCUGAGAGGGCGGACGGCCACAUUGGGACUGAGAUACGGCCCAGACUCCUACGGGAGGCAGCAGGC
rnacentral:rRNA from 1 species